UCGAACAGACCUAAAUUUCUAGCUUCUACACCAAAAUUUAAUUUUAAUCCAACAUCGAGGUCGCAAUCUUUUCUUUCGAUAAGAACUCUCAAGAAAAAUUACGCUGUUAUCCCUAAGGUAAUUUAAUCUUAUAAUCUUUAUAAAGGAUCAAAAAUCCACAUAUUAGUGCCUAAACUAAAAAAAAGUUUAUUAAAUUUUUCAAUCACCCCAAUUAAAUUAAUUUCCUUAUAAGAAAAUGAAUCCUAAAAAUACUUAUACUUUAACUAAUAAAACUCUAUAGGGUCUUCUCGUCUUUUAUUAACAUUUAAGCUUUUUUACUUAAAAAUAAAGUUCUAAUAAAUUUAAAUAGAGACAGAUUUUUUCUCAUCUAACCUUUCAUUCCAGCUUUCAAUUAAAAAACUAAUGAUUAUGCUACCUUUGCACGGUCAAAUUACCGCGGCCAUUUAAAACUUCAUUGGGCAGGCCAGACCUUAAAUUAUU
rnacentral:rRNA from 1 species